rnacentral:rRNA from 1 species
UACGAAGGGGGCUAGCGUUGCUCGGAAUUACUGGGCGUAAAGCGCACGUAGGCGGCUCUUUAAGUCGGGGGUGAAAUCCUGGAGCUCAACUCCAGAACUGCCUUCGAUACUGGAGAGCUCGAGUCCGGGAGAGGUGAGUGGAACUGCGAGUGUAGAGGUGAAAUUCGUAGAUAUUCGCAAGAACACCAGUGGCGAAGGCGGCUCACUGGCCCGGUACUGACGCUGAGGUGCGAAAGCGUGGGGAGCAAACAGGA